rnacentral:rRNA from 1 species
GACGAACGCUGGCGGCGUGCUUAACACAUGCAAGUCGAACGGAAAGGCCCUGCUUUUGUGGGGUGCUAGCGUGGCGAACGGGUGAGUAACACGUGAGUAACCUGCCCUUGAGUUUGGGAUAACUUCAGGCAACUGGGGCUAAUACCGGAUAGGAGCUCCUGCUGCAUGGUGGGGGUUGGAAAGUUUCGGCGGUUUGGGAUGGACUCCCGGCUUACCAGCUUGUUGGGUGAGGAGUGGCAUACCAGGGCUUUGGCGGGUAGCCGGCCUGAGAGGUGGAACGGGGUCAAUGGUACUACGAGACGGCCCAGACGGGUAUGGGAGGCAGCAGGGGGGAGUAUGGCACAGUGGGGGGGAGCCUGAGGCAGAGGCGCCGCGUGUGGGAUGACGGCCUUGGUGUUGUAAACCGCUUUCAGCUGAGACGAAGCUGGAGUGACGGUAAUAGGUAAAGAAGCACCGGCUAACUACGUG